rnacentral:rRNA from 1 species
UACGUAGGGAGCAAGCGUUGUUCGGAUUUACUGGGCGUAAAGGGCGCGUAGGCGGCCUUCUAAGUCAGACGUGAAAUCCCCCGGCUUAACCUGGGAACUGCGUCUGAUACUGGGAGGCUUGAGUAUGGGAGAGGGAUGUAGAAUUCCAGGUGUAGCGGUGAAAUGCGUAGAUAUCUGGAGGAAUACCGGUGGCGAAGGCGGCAUCCUGGACCAUAACUGACGCUGAGGCGCGAAAGCUAGGGGAGCAAACGGG